AGGUGGCCCAAUUACUCACCCCUCUGCAGAUGAGCGCCAGGUAUUACACACUUGACAGGUGGUGCACUGAAGAACCUUGGAAUCUGAUUUUCUUGACUUCCACUGGAUCACUGAUGGGCUCUCGGCACCUCAAGCAAUCAGAUUUCUGGUGUCCCAAAGCAUGUACCUCAAACCCAAGGUACUCAACUUGUGACACUUGGAGAAAGAUAACUCCUUAACCCGGCAGAACUUUGAGAUCUGAAGAAAAACAUUACUCAUCUGCUAUGCUGGGAACCAGCACUGAGUAAAAACCUGAGUAAAGAUGAGGAUGAGAGGAGACAAGUAUUUUAUUUUUAAACCUUAUGAAUUCCUGAGUAGUUCUGCUUUCCUAGAGAGGAAGGCAGGGUUGGGAAGAUCAGAUUUUCAAACUCUACUCCCUCCCUGAUAGCACACUAAAGACUUGUAUUACCUUUAAUUGAUGUUUCUGAGUGCAUCCUCAUUGAUUUACUCCAGCCGUGCUCUUUAUGCAGGGAACAUUCUAUUCUCAGAGCAUAAUCUAGACCCAUACGAAUAAUAUAGAUGUUUCCUGAUAACAUAAUUUAGAAAGAGGAGAUGUAAUUGCUGCCUGUGCUGAAUGCACAGCAUCUUUCUGCUUGCCAGAGCACUGCAAACUCAUGAUCCCUUUUGGAAUCCAUACAGGGAGAAAAGUCCCAAAUCCUUCAAUGUGGUUCUCAUUUUGUCAUUUCCAUCUUAUUAAAUAUGCUCUUCCUUG